UGGGGAAUAUUGGGCAAUGGGGGCAACCCUGACCCAGCGACGCCGCGUGAGUGAAGAAAUCCCUCGGGAUGUAAAGCUCUGUUGUAUGGGAAGAGAAGCAGACGGUACCAUACGAGGAAGCCCCGGCAAACUACGUGCCAGCAGCCGCGGUAAUACGUAGGGGGCAAGCGUUGUCCGGAAUUACUGGGCGUAAAGCGCACGCAGGCGGACUGAUAAGUCAGACGUAAAAGGCACGGGCUUACCCUGUGUAAGACAUCUGAUACUGUCAGUCUAGAGUAUGUGAGAGGGAAGUGGAACUCCCGGUGUAGCGGUGAAAUGCGUAGAUAUCGGGAAGAACACCAGUGGCGAAGGCGGCUUCCUGGCACAAGACUGACGCUCAUGUGCGAAAGCUAGGGUAGCGAACGGG
rnacentral:rRNA from 1 species